rnacentral:rRNA from 2 species
UUUGUUCCUGGCUCAGGACGAACGCUGGCGGCGUGCCUAAUACAUGCAAGUCGAACGAACUCUGGUAUUGAUUGGUGCUUGCAUCAUGAUUUACAUUUGAGUGAGUGGCGAACUGGUGAGUAACACGUGGGAAACCUGCCCAGAAGCGGGGGAUAACACCUGGAAACAGAUGCUAAUACCGCAUAACAACUUGGACCGCAUGGUCCGAGUUUGAAAGAUGGUUCGGCUAUCACUUUUGGAUGGUCCCGCGGCGUAUUAGCUAGAUGGUGGGGUAACGGCUCACCAUGGCAAUGAUACGUAGCCGACCUGAGAGGGUAAUCGGCCACAUUGGGACUGAGACACGGCCCAAACUCUACGGGAGGCAGCAGUAGGGAAUCUUCCACAAUGGACGAAAGUCUGAUGGAGCAUCGCCGCGUGUAGUGAAGAA